GACGAACGCUGGCGGCGUGCUUAACACAUGCAAGUCGAGCGGAGCGGCGAACGGGUGAGUAACGCGUGAGUAACUGCCCCCCUCUCUGGGCUAACAGUCGGAAACGGGUGCUAAUACCGGAUAGUGGGGGAUGACUCGCGUCCUAUCAGCUUGUUGGUGGGGUAGUGGCCGACCAAGGCGACGACGGGUAGCCGGCCUGAGAGGGCGACCGGCCAGAUUGGGCUAGGGUACGGCCCAAAGUCCUACGGGAGGCAGCAGUGGGGAGUAUGGCACAAUGGGGGAAACCCUGAUGAAGAAACGCCGCGUGCGGAAUGACGGCCUUCAGGUUGUAAACCGCUUUAAGCCAUGACGCGGUAGUGGCAGAAGAAGCACCGGCUAACUACGUGCCAGCAGCCGCGGUAAUAC
rnacentral:rRNA from 1 species